rnacentral:lncRNA from 10 species
CCACCACGAUGACGGCGAUGAGGCCGGCGGUGAGGCGCUUCAUGGAGAACUUCGGGGGAAUCUCGUCCAGGGCUCCUCAGGCUCAAGCACAACCUGGAAAAACGAAGGUGUUAAUGUUCCAUGAGGCAACUGAUGACCAAUGGGGAGCAGGAGCUGGUGAAUGAAUGUUCCCUUCAUCCAUCCUGCAGCUUCUACAUUGUUCUUCAUCUCUGGGAAAUCAGUGACCCAUGGACUGGACAAUAACUUUGAGCCAUGCAGUCAAAAUAAAAUGGAAUAUUUAAGUGAAAGAUCAGGUUCUGGAAAAUAAAACUGCUCGUAGCUGCAUAUUAUCUACCGAACUUAGGUGGAUUCUCAGAAAGAAAAAGGUGAUGUUCACUGGCAUGAACAGUGAAUGGUGGAGUGGAACGUGAACAGGCUGGAGCUCUGGCUGUGCCAUUUAUUAGCCAUGUGCCUUUAGAAGGUCCUCAUCUUCUCCAGCCUCAGUUUCACCAUCUGUAAUGGUAGGAGUAUCCAUGACCCAGAGAGAGUAUCAGUGUCAAGAAUCUGCCAGUGAGAAAGUGAUUUGAAGCAGCUCUGGAGUUCAGAUGGCCACGGGUGCAAGUGCCUGCUCUGGUGUGCUUUGCCUCUGGAAAGAUGCCAAGUCUUUGAGAAUCUUUGCUGCAUCAGCCAUGCUACAUCCUGAGGACUUGGAGAAAAACACCAUAAAUAGGAUUUCUGAUGUCCAUUUUAUAGAUGAAGAAGGAAGGUUUAGCAAGGCCAUUCAAGGAUACACAGCUAGAGGACGAGAUGGAAUUGAAGUCCCUUUGUCAGCAUCCUUUUCAUUCUUGAUGCCAUUUCAUUUCCCCUCCUGGUAUGUUUUGUUAUGCAGUUAGCUUAGGCCUAAUUUUAUAUAACCAAUUAUAAACUGUGAAAUAGGAUUCUGGUAUGAAUUUCCUAUUCUUCUCCCACUAAGCAACUGAUGAAUCCCUUCGUGGUCAGAUGUGACGAAUGGGAUUGUUUCUGUUCUACUAUGGUUUGAAUUUCUACCUUGAUAAUUACACAAAAACACUAUCAACAAAGGUGGACGCCAGGUAAACACUGCUCCCUCCUAAAUGCUUCUAUGGCUGAGAUCCAUUCUCUUGCUCUUUUUCUCCUUUCUUCAAGAACAGAUGUUCAUAUUCUUUGCCAAUUUUUCUACUGAGUUAUAAGAACACAUUAUAUAUUAAGAAAAUUAGUCCUAUUUAUUUGUCUUAUAGGUUAGAAAUAUUUACCUGUUGGUCAAUGGUCUAUCAUCUGAAUAUAUAGUAUUUUUGGGGGCCUCUGCAUAAUAGUUCUGUAUUAUUUUUUAGGAAAGCCUUCCCACUCCAAGAGAAAAAGUAAGUUAUUUAUAUAUCCACAUCUUAUGGGUCUUUGACUUUCUAUUCUCUUCCACUGAAUUGUCUAUUUCCCAAUUUCAGUUGUUACAAUAUUUAUAGCUUUAUAAUUUGAGCUAAUAUCUGCCAUUUUAAAGCUUUUUUUCUGGCUUCUGUUGCAUUUUUAUGUCUUUAUUUCUUUCAGCUAUUAUACAAAUGAUACAACCUGCUAUGGAAAAAAGAGAAAUAACAGAUAAGUAUACAAAGAAAAUACAAGAAAAACAUGAACAGUAAUAAUCUUAUCCAAAUGUUACUGAGAUAUUUUUGGAGUACUUAAUUUCAAUCUUUUUCCUAUAUGCAAACACACACAACUUUUCUCUAACAAAAAUCAGAUCAUACUGUACUAGCAAACACCCUACCUGAAAUCUGUAUAUCCAUUGCCUAUUGAUUAUGCCCAUUGCUUAACAUACUAUGUUUUAUUUAAUCAUUAUUUAAUUGUUGAGUAUGCAAGUUAUUUCUGAGUUUUCACUCAAGCUGUUUACGCUUAUUUCUGUCUGGGUGUGAAUGAAUCUUUGGCACAUUCCUCUAGCAAGUUGAUCAACAUCUGGUCUAAGAUAUUCUUCGGUGUUGGGUUUGUGCUGUCCACAUCAGCUUAGCAAUGUCUGCACAAAGACUCCUUCCCCCUCAAAAGUGCCAUUCAGACUUGCUGUGGGUAUAAGGGGAACAAUCUCAUUGAGGAGAAAGUUGUCAUUGUGGUUGAGAACAUGAACUUUGGAAUUGGAUAGAGCUGUGUGAAUUUGGCCUAAACUCCGAGUCUGCUUCCACAUCUGUAAAAUGUAGACACAAAUAGUUACUCAUAAGGUUCUGGUGGGGAUUAAAUGUGGUUAUACCUGUAAAGUCCUUAGCAUUAUGCCCAGCACAUAGUGAAGAUGUUCGAUAAAUGAUAACUAAACAAACAUUGUGUCCCCUCCCACUACAACCACACUGCUCUCCCUCACCUUACAGACUUUGCUGCUUGACAAUCUUGGGGUGGGGCUGCUGAAAACUGAAUCUCAAUUUAGGAAGCCAUGUUGUCCCAGGAUUAGGGUUAUUGGCCUCACAUAAGAAUCUCCAAAUCUGCAGAAUCUCAGGCCCCACCCAAAAACUAUUCAAUCAGAAACUACAUUUUCAAAAGAUAUCCCAGAUGAUUUGUAUGCAUAGUAAAGUUUGAGAAGGUUUUAGUCCAGGUAUUCAGGAAGUGAUGCUGGUUGUGUAUGGAGGACAGGGGCCCAGGAACUGAUGAAAUCUCUAGUUUGGAAUUCUCGAUAGCAUUUGCAUUCUUUUUUUUUUUUUUUAUCUCAAAUCCAUCACUCAGUAGCAAUGUGAUCUUCACAAAGCUCCCUUUACUUUUACCACCAUAGUGUUGUAGGAGAAGCUCUAUCUUCCAAGUCAGACAGAUCUGGGCUUCAAUUCCAGCUUUGUUAACUGGAGGACUUAUUAUUAGCUGGGAGGACUUGCGACAAAUCAUACCAACUUUCUGAGCCCAGUUUCCUUCCCUGUAAAAUGUAGAUAAUACACCUUUCUUGAGGUGUUACUAGAGAUAACCAAUGAUAAAGUGUUUGGGAAAUCUGGCAUAUCGUAGGGGUACAAUGAGUAAGUGGUUUGACUCCAAAGACCUGAGUUUGGAUCUCAGCUCCACAACUCACUUGGCUGAUUGCUUUCUUUCCCUGGACUCAAGUUUCAUCAUCUGUAAAACUGGCAUUUCAACCAAAUAACUUCUGAAGUCUCUCCCUCCUUUAAAGCUUGAUAUUACAAGGGCAAAUUUUAGUACAAAUAUCCAAAUCCUAACGGUAACUCACAAUUACAAAAGAGCUGAGUCUGUCAUUCACCUGUCAAAUUAUCUAAACUGCGUCUCAGUCAGGAGAUGUGAAAAGAAGGAUGGAUUUUCUAUGAAUGUUUUCUUUUUUUUUUUU